GAGGGCGGACUGGCGCGCGCGCGGGCUGGGCGGGCUUGGCGCGCACUCUCCGGGUGGGAUGACCGGAAUGCUUGUGUGUCCGGGUUGCAAAAGAGCCCCUCAAUCCUGAACCUAGAGUGACUGCAGUCCGGAAAUUUAGCCUCGAUUUAUUAUUAGACGUCGGGUAAGAGGGAUUCACAGCUGCCCUGACUCCAUACUUGGGAAUCUUAUGUAAGAAGAGUUAGCAGGACAUGCCGGAUGCACGUGGACAUGGGGUGCUCCCUCCACGGCCCAGGCCGUGGUCAGCUGCAGGGGGAUGGGAACACUGAGGCAUUUGCUUCCCUCCUGGCGGGGUCUUUCCUACUACUGCUGCCAGGGUUAAUGAAACAUGCGAAGGUGUGGUGAUUUGAAUAAGAAUGGUCCCCAUAAGAUCAAGUCUGUGGAUGCUUAGUUCUCAGACUGGGACUACAUAGAAGAAUUAGAAGGUGUGGCCUUAUUGGAAGAAAUCUGUGGGCCUUGGGGUUUAGGAAGCCCAAACCAGGCCCAAUGGCUCUGUCUCUUCCUGCUGCCUUUGAAGCCACAUGGUAGAACUCUCAGCUACUUCUCAAACAUCAUGUCAGUCUACAUACUGCCAUAUCUCAACACCACUGCCAUGAUGACAAACUUCUGAAACUGUAAACAAGUCCCAAGGAAAUGCUUUCUUUUAUAUAAGAGUUGUCAUGGUCAUGGUGUCCCUUCACUGCAUUAGAACCCCAAGUCAGUGAGAUAUAUUUCCCAUAGAAUACAAAGAUAAUGGUAGAUAGUAAAUGUAAGGGUGUUGCUGGCUGAGAUUUUGUGUUGUGCUAAUAUAUACUAUGAUAUACUGUAUAUGGGAACUGUAACUGAAAAGAAAUACUUAUACUUUUGUAGCUUAUUUGUGUUUUGUACAGUAAGACAUUUCUUGGGAAUUGUAUUCAAAUUGUAUUUUUUUUCUAAUUUGAAAUUGGGGGUGGGGGGAGCUUCCCAAUUAUAUUGCUAAACUAAUUUUCUCUAGCCAGGCUUUGCCUUCUAUAGGUUCACCCUCCCAAAACACUGCUACCAGCUGGGGCCACGUGUUCAAAUUAGAUCAGUCAGUGGAAGACAGGUCCCAUUCAAACUAUACUCAUUCUUUCCUUUUCUUCCCCUAUUUCAUUCCUUCCUUCCUUUCUCACUUUCUAUCUUUCCUACUCUCAUUAAGUCUCUUACUUCCAUGCAAACUCAUAUUCUUUAUUAUUGUUGUUAUUGUUAUAUUUUUAUUAUUUAAAACAAUUUUUCAGUUUAAAUAUAUUUUGAUCAUAUUCUUCCCCACCCCCAAGUCUUCUCCCCUUCCCAACCAACUUUAAGUGCCUUUUUGAAAAAUAAAUUAAAAGUCAGUACAACAACAGAAUCUCUCCAAACCAAAAAAACAAAAUAUGAUUUCUCUUCUCCCGAAAAAACACCAAACUGUAACCAAAUAAAAAUGUACAAAAAAACUGUGGGAUCC
rnacentral:lncRNA from 1 species